CCUACGGGUGGCAGCAGUGGGGAAUAUUGGACAAUGGGGGGAACCCUGAUCCAGCCAUGCCGCGUGUGUGAAGAAGGCCCUCGGGUUGUAAAGCACUUUCAGUGAGGAAGAACGCCUGGUGGUUAAUACCCAUCAGGAAAGACAUCACUCACAGAAGAAGCACCGGCUAACUCCGUGCCAGCAGCCGCGGUAAUACGGAGGGUGCGAGCGUUAAUCGGAAUUACUGAGCGUAAAGCGCGCGUAGGUGGCUUGAUAAGCCGGUUGUGAAAGCCCCGGGCUCAACCUGGGAACGGCAUCCGGAACUGUCAAGCUAGAGUGCAGGAGAGGAAGGUAGAAUUCCCGGUGUAGCGGUGAAAUGCGUAGAGAUCGGGAGGAAUACCAGUGGCGAAGGCGGCCUUCUGGACUGACACUGACACUGAGGUGCGAAAGCGUGGGUAGCAAACAGGAUUAGAUACCCUAGUAGUC
rnacentral:rRNA from 1 species